CGGGUGAGUAUGUCUGGGAAACUGCCUGAUGGAGGGGGAUAACUACUGGAAACGGUAGCUAAUACCGCAUAACGUCGCAAGACCAAGAGGGGGACCUUAGGGCCUCUUGCCAUCGGAUGUGCCCAGAUGGGAUUAGCUAGUAGGUGGGGUAAUGGCUCACCUAGGCGACGAUCCCUAGCUGGUCUGAGAGGAUGACCAGCCACACUGGAACUGAGACACGGUCCAG
rnacentral:rRNA from 1 species